GACUUGACUUUACCCAGUUGACGAGGCGCAACUAGAUGCCUGUGAUGAUGACUGCGAAGUUAAUAACGGUGAGCACGAUGCUUCUGACAGCCACGUGGUAAUAUUACCUACAGAGGAGGCGUUGCAAGAGGUUGUAGUUAAGACGGAAUCACGUCACGAGCUAAACAACGUCACACAACCCACCCCCGACCACGUUACGUCUUCAGAGGAUGGGUCUCACACGCUCACCGCCUGCGCGAGUGUACACACCCCAGGUACAUCCAGUCCCCCAACGCAACGAUUGAGACCCCCGCAUCCAGGCGGUCAGGGUAUAAAACGGUUGAGGUUACCGGAGCAGGAUGCGGAUGACUCGCCGACCACCACACGUUUAAGGACUUCAGACAAUAAUGAACAAGGCUACGGUGAGGGUGAUCUAACAGCGUGGUCUGAUUCGAUGAUC